UGGGGGAAUAUUGCACAAUGGGCGCAAGCCUGAUGCAGCCAUGCCGCGUGUGUGAAGAAGGCCUUCGGGUUGUAAAGCACUUUCAGCGAGGAGGAAAGGUGGUGAGCUUAAUACGCUCAUCAAUUGACGUUACUCGCAGAAGAAGCACCGGCUAACUCCGUGCCAGCAGCCGCGGUAAUACGGAGGGUGCAAGCGUAAUCGGAAUUACUGGGCGUAAAGCGCACGCAGCGGUUUGUUAAGUCAGAUGUGAAAUCCCCGGGCUCAACCUGGGAACUGCAUUUGAAACUGGCAAGCUAGAGUCUCGUAGAGGGGGGUAGAAUUCCAGGUGUAGCGGUGAAAUGCGUAGAGAUCUGGAGGAAUACCGGUGGCGAAGGCGGCCCCCUGGACGAAGACUGACGCUCAGGUGCG
rnacentral:rRNA from 1 species